rnacentral:rRNA from 1 species
ACGGAAGGCAGCAGUGGGGAAUAUUGCACAAUGGGCGAAAGCCUGAUGCAGCGACGCCGCGUGAGUGAAGAAGUAUCUCGGUAUGUAAAGCUCUAUCAGCAGGGAAGAAAAUGACGGUACCUGACUAAGAAGCCCCGGCUAACUACGUGCCAGCAGCCGCGGUAAUACGUAGGGGGCAAGCGUUAUCCGGAUUUACUGGGCGUAAAGGGAGCGUAGACGGUUUGGCAAGUCUGAAGUGAAAUGCGGGGGCUCAACUCCUGAACUGCUUUGGAAACUGUCGAACUAGAGUGCAGGAGAGGUAAGUGGAAUUCCUAGUGUAGCGGUGAAAUGCGUAGAUAUUAGGAGGAACACCAGUGGCGAAGGCGGCUUACUGGACUGUAACUGACGUUGAGGCUCGAAAGCGUGGGGAGCAAACAGGAUUAGAUACCCUGGUA